AUUGGCCCUAGUACGGCGAGUGAAGCGGCAACAGCUCAAAUUUGAAAGCUAGCCUUCGGGUUCGCAUUGUAAUUUGUAGAGGAUGAUUUGGGGAAGCCGCCUGUCUAAGUUCCUUGGAACAGGACGUCAUAGAGGGUGAGAAUCCCGUAUGUGACAGGAAAUGGCACCCUAUGUAAAUCUCCUUCGACGAGUCGAGUUGUUUGGGAAUGCAGCUCUAAAUGGGAGGUAAAUUUCUUCUAAAGCUAAAUAUUGGCGAGAGACCGAUAGCGCACAAGUAGAGUGAUCGAAAGAUGAAAAGCACUUUGGAAAGAGAGUUAAAAAGCACGUGAAAUUGUUGAAAGGGAAGCGCUUGCAAUCAGACUUGUUUAAACUGUUCGGCCGGUCUUCUGACCGGUUUACUCAGUUUGGACAGGCCAGCAUCAGUUUCGGCGGCCGGAUAAAGGCUCUGGGAAUGUGGCCUCCACUUCGGUGGAGGUGUUAUAGCCCAGGGUGUAAUACGGCCAGCCGGGACUGAGGUCCGCGCUUCGGCUAGGAUGCUGGCGUAAUGGUUGUAAGCGACCCGUCUUGAACCACGGACCA
rnacentral:rRNA from 1 species